CGGGUGAGUAAUACAUAGGAACGUGUCUUCUAGUGGGGGAUAACUGCCCGAAAGGGCAGCUAAUACCGCAUGAGACCUGAGGGUGAAAGCGGGGGAUCGCAAGACCUCGCGCUGGAAGAGCGGCCGAUGUCCGAUUAGCUAGUUGGUGAGGUAAAGGCUCACCAAGGCGACGAUCGGUAGCUGGUCUGAGAGGACGACCAGCCACACUGGGACUGAGACACGGCCCAG
rnacentral:rRNA from 1 species